UGCACCAAAGUCGUUGUUUAACCUCAUUCCAUUGGGUAGGGUUUAACUUCUGUGGCAAUUAAUGACAGCUGAUAUUUAGAACGUACAAAAGCUGAAGUAACAAAGAACACUAAGCAGUAUCGAUAUUAAAUCAAAUAUACUCAGCCAUAUGAAGUCCGUCUCCAUGGCGGCGCGUACACACGCAGCGGCUUGGGGCUCUCCAGACUUUUAGGUUUUGUUAGUAAAUGUUUAGUUGUAGUCUUAGUUUAAUUUAAGUUUAAUUGUGAAGUUGUUGCCACGCAAUCAUCUUGGGGGUCUCCUGACCAUAGAUUUUUGUUAGUAAUAGUUUAGUUAUAGUUUUAUUUUAGUUUUAGUGUAAUUGUUUACUUGGGUUGCCAUGGCGAUGGAUACACAGCUCUCCAGGCUAAACGUUUUUGUUUUUUAAUCGUUUUUUGUUUUUUAACACUAAUGUGCCCUCCACUGGCAAAACAGUAUAGCCGUGCUGAGCUCCUCAUAAAUCGUGAUGUACAUCGACUGUCAAGCGAGAUAUCCAUCCCUCCCGAGAUCCGCAGAUUAGCCAGCGAAAGCUCUGCCUCAACAGGCCGGCAGAGGAGACGCUGUGAGCGGAAGCAGAAGCGAGGAAAGCGGGCCGGUGUACGAGCUCGGCUAAAGGCUAACCCAUCCAAACCACCGCUUCCUUCAAUCUUCCUAGCCAAUGUUCGCUCAAUACGGAAUAAACUGGACGAGAUUAGACUUCGACUCACAGCACAGAGGACUUUGACUCGCUGCUGCUGCAUGAUCUUCACCGAGACGUGGUUAGACAGCACCACACCAGACGCAGCUAUCCAGCUAGCAGGCCGCACCGUCUACCGGGCCGACAGAACAGCUGACUCGGCUGUACAAAGGCGGAGCAGGCAGCCAUCCAGAGGCUGAUUAAAACAGCGGGAAGGAUCAUUGGAGUAGAGCUGCCCGACAUCUUGUCCAUCUCCUCCUCCCGUUGCCUGCAGCGCUCUAAACGCAUCCUCACAGACCCUUCUCAUCCUGCCCAUCAUCUGUUCCUGUUACUCCCGUCAGGGAAAAGGUUCAGAUCAAAAAAAGGCACGCACCUCCAGGAUGGCAAAGAGCUUCUAUCCCUGUGCAAUAAGGCUCCUCAACAGCUUGACCACCCCACUCCCCACCCCCCUUCAUCUCCCCCCAACCCCGGCCCAGCCCUCCCUGCCCCCCAUGGACUGCACUCUAAUACUUGAUGCACCUUAACAUGGAGAUAUGGAGAUAUAUUGCUUUCAUUAUUUUUAUUAUUAUUUUAUGAAUGAUAUUUAUGAAUCUAUUUAUUAAUUGUUAUUUAUUAUUAUUUAGCUGUGUAAGUCUGGUUGCCUCUACUGUCUCGUUGUCUUUAUGGCAAUGACAAAUAAAGUACUUUGAACUUUGAACA
ensembl:lncRNA